UACGUAGGGAGCAAGCGUUGUUCGGAUUUACUGGGCGUAAAGGGCGCGUAGGCGGCAGAUCAAGUCAGCUGUGAAAUCUCCGAGCUUAACUCGGAACUGUCAGCUGAUACUGAUGUGCUAGAGUGCGGAAGGGGCAAUCGGAAUUCUUGGUGUAGCGGUGAAAUGCGUAGAUAUCAAGAGGAACACCUAAGGUGAAGACGGGUUGCUGGGCCGACACUGACGCUGAGUGCGCGAAAGCCAGGGGAGCAAACGGG
rnacentral:rRNA from 1 species